CGUGUAGGCGGUUUCGUAAGUCGGAUGUGAAAGCCCCUGGCUCAACUGGGAGAGGCCAUUCGAUACUGCGAGACUUGAGGUCGGGAGAGGGACGUGGAAUUCCCGGUGUAGUGGUGGAAUGCGUAGAUAUCGGGAGGAACACCAGUGGCGAAGGCGGCGUCCUGGCCCGCACCUGACGCUAAGACGCGAAAGCGUGGGUAGCGAACG
rnacentral:rRNA from 1 species